GUUCCCUUCGGGGACGCUGAGACGGGUGGUGCAUGGCUGUCGUCAGCUCGUGUCGUGAGAUGUUGGGUUAAGUCCCGCAACGAGCGCAACCCUUGUCAUUAGUUGCCAUCAUUAAGUUGGGCACUCUAAUGAGACUGCCGGUGACAAACCGGAGGAAGGUGGGGAUGACGUCAAGUCAUCAUGCCCCUUAUGACCUGGGCUACACACGUGCUACAAUGGACGGUACAACGAGAAGCGAACCUGCGAAGGCAAGCGGAUCUCUUAAAGCCGUUCUCAGUUCGGACUGUAGGCUGCAAUUCGCCUACACGAAGCUGGAAUCGCUAGUAAUCGCGGAUCAGCACGCCGCGGUGAAUACGUUCCCGGGCCUUGUACACACCGCCCGUCACACCAUGAGAGUCUGUAACACCCAAAGCCGGUGGGAUAACCUUUAUAGGAGUCAGCCGUCUAAGGUAGGACAGAUGAUUAGGGUGAAGUCGUAACAAGGUAGCCGUAGGAGAACCUGCG
rnacentral:rRNA from 1 species